CCCUUAGAUGUCCUGGGCCGCACGCGCGCUACACUGAGUGUCUGAGAUACGAGUCUGCCUGGUCCGGCAAGGUCUAGGUAAUCGCUAAAAGACACAUCAUGCUUGGGAUAGAUUAUUGCAAAUAUUAAUCUUGAACGAGGAAUUCCUAGUAAGCGCAAGUCAACAGCUUGCGUUGAUUACGUCCCUGCCCUUUAUACACACCGCCCGUCGCUACUACUGAUUGGAUGUUUAAGCGAGGUUCUCGAACUGCUAGCGACUUAGCUUCGGUGAGGUCGCAGUGUGGGAAGUGAACCUAGCUUUGGUGUCUAGAGGAAGUAAAAGUCGUAACA
rnacentral:rRNA from 1 species